CAAUGGCAUAAUUAUGCUGUAUUUGCAUGAUCAGAUAUGACUGUGUAUGAUUUCAACAAUGUUAACUUGGGACACAACAUUGGGAACAUAUUUACUGACUUAUAAAUCCUCUUGUCAGGUUCAGGGUCAAGAAACAUGACUGUGCUCCAGCAGCCUGUGUCUGAGUCAGUCCAGCCAGGAGACUCUGUGUCUCUGAACUGUACAAUACACACUGAGACCUGUGUAGGAGAACACAGUGUCUAUUGGUUCAGACAUGGCUCAGGAGAAUCCCAUCCAGGAAUCAUUUACACCCAUGGAGACAGGAGUGAUCAGUUUGAGAAGAGACCUGAGGCUGGGUCUCAUACACAGAGCUGUGUCUACAACCUCCCCAAGACGAACCUCAGCCUCUCUGAUGCUGGGACUUACUACUGUGCUGUGGCCUCAUGUGGGGAGAUACUGUUUGGGACCAAGCUGGAUGUUGAACGUGGUCACUCUGAUGAUGCAAAGAUGAGAAUCUUGGUCCUUCUCUCCAUCAUAAGAACUGGAGUUCUCCUCUGCUGUCUGACCAUCUUCAUCAUCAUAUACACCACCAGGAAAUACAUCAAUCUAAGACAAAUGUCGAUGGACUUUUUGCAGUAAAUGUUGGAAAUAUCAUCACUAUGUCUUGAAAAUGAGUAUUUAUUGAGAUUGCUCAGUAUUUUCAUAUUGCCUUUUAUUAAUUAAUGGUCUGUGACCUUGUUUAAAAAGUUCUAUGUCAGUUGAAAUUCCCUGUAUAUGCUGCUUCUUUUAGCAUU